AUCAAUGUGUGAGGUGGUGCUAUGUAGCAGGAACCCCUCUUGCUUUGCAAAUAGUUUUUUGUUUGUUUUCCUUUUUGCCCAAUAGAGCCCUGCUCUACUGACCCUUCAAUGUGCCCGUGUGCCUAAAUAUUCCUGGUCGUGUGAAAAGAACCCAGGUAUUAGCUGAACUAAGGAGCACAAUUCUGCAACAUUUUGGCACCCAAACACGGGGCUUGAGAAAUGAAUGCAAUUGGAGAAACUGGUUGUUUUACCAGGCGUUGAUUGGAAAUGUGUGCUUCCCUUUAAGCAGUCAAGCUCAACUUGCAGAACUGAUGGGAACCCCUUGGGAAAACUGGCCUCAAAUGUUUGUCUACACAGUCCACAUACAGGGUUCUUAACCUGCGGAAACACUUUCUGAAAAUGUCAGAACUCUUGAAAACAUGGAUGAGGAAAAGCAUAAGUACUGCUUUAUGCUUUUCUUAUGAAUUUUAAAAGAUGUAAUUUAAAGGUGGAGUCUCACUCUGUCACCCAUGGUGGAGUACAGUAGUGCGGUCUUAGCUCACUACAAACUCCACUUCCCUGAUUCAAGUAAUUCUUGUGCCUCAGCCUCUCGAGUAGCUUGGAUUGCAGGCAUGCACCACCACGAGCUGCUAAAUUUUUUGUAUUUUUUGUAGAGGGGUUUUGCCAUGUUGGCCAAGCUGGUCUCAAACUCCUGACCUCAAGUGAUCCGCCCUGGCUUCCCAAGCCCAGCUGAUUCCUGUUUAAAUAAAAACUUACAAAGAUCUUCCCACAAGUACUUUAUCUUACAAUUUACUGAACAAUAGAGGCAGUGAAGAUGUUUUUCAGAAAGCAAUUGUGAUCCUGACAUUUUCUUCUUAUAAUCCUGUGCUUUCCUCAUUUUUUUAUAUUAAAAGUAAUAGUUCUUGUGAUGGCAACUAGGAUUUGUAACAACAUGUACCCUCAUUUCCUGCAUGACCUUUUUUAUGUCACUUCUUCACAUGCAAAGUAUACUCCCUCAGUGUCAUUACAUUAUUUGAUUUUUGCCCUUUCCCUCACCUUUCCAUGUGUUUAUUUGCCUAUGCCCAUCUCCUAGUCACAUUUUAUCUAGUUAACGCCAACUUGACUUUCAAUGCUGUUCAAGAUUUACCUCAAUCUCAAGUGUUUUCUCUUUAUAUUCCAUACACGCUUAGCUUGGCUGCCAAUCCUCUUGGCUGCCAAAGAAUCCCAAAUUAUCUCUUUCAAAAAUACAAGAAAUAAAGGAUGGAGGAUAGGAAGGAGGGUGGUCAGGAAAGAACAAAGAAAGGAGGGGAGAGGAAAAAAAGAGAGAAAGAAAGAGAAUUAAAGUUAAGGAGGAAGAAUUUCACACUGAAUUAAAAUUGAUAAUAUUCAGGAAUGAUUUUAUAGUAGGCAUACAUUGAUAAAUAUUAGUUAAAUUAAUGAAUUAUUCCAAAAGAUCAUGAUUUGUAAAAAUUACCCUGAAGCACUUUAGGAAUAUUACAUUGAAAUAGGUAUGCAAUUUCUAAAGAAACUGGACUGCAAAAAUAGCCAUUGUGUGUACCUGUGGACCAGAAUAUUAUAUUUUGCUUAAGUUUGAAGUGUUAAAGUGCCCAACGUGCUCUUAUUUUAACCUAGCAAAUUUUCAGCAGAACUUAAGCUCAUAUAGUAUUUGAUUUUUUCAUUUCUCACAACUGUUGGAAUUCUGUUUUAUUGAAAAUUAUACAAUAAAAUGUUAAAAAAUCUUUGUUCCUGCAGUUAUGCAAUCUUAUGCCAAAGUCAAUAAAUUAUUAAAUUAAAAUCAAACCCACUAAGCCUAACAAUUUGAGAAAAUGAUUAUUAAAACAUAUACCAUUUAGAAGGGCAAUGCCUUUUUAAUAUUAUAGUGAAGACAACCCUAUCAAUUAUUUAAUACACCAAGAAUACAAGGAUAUAAAAUCUUUUUCUCUCAUAUAUCACAUUAUCUGAUGUAUUUAGCUGUGAUGACAUUCCAGAAAACAUCACUUUUUAAAAUUUCUAAGAUUUUAUUAUGUUGCUAGCAAAUCGAUUUUUUUCAAGUACUGUAACAAAAUCCCUAAAUGGGCUUUAUGAGAACUAUUUUCAGUGUGAUAUUAAUCAUAUUUUAUUUAUCAUCCAUACAUAGAUGGUAGCUUAUCUGGUAUUCCUAGUGUUUGAAGUGAAGAGUAACACACACACACAUCCCAAUACCAAUUUAAUUGAUAAAUAUAUAAUCAUUUGUUUUCAAAUAUUUAUGUUGAUACUUGCUUGUGUACUUACUUGUAAUGUAGGUCUGUAAAAGGGACUGUUUUCUUUCUGUGAAACUGAAGCUUAAAGCAGUGCUUGUCACAAAUUCAAAAUCACCUUGCUUUGUCAACAUUUUCAGAUGUUUUUGGCUCAGUCUGAUGACAGCAUCAGUGCAGUAAAGGGAUCUUAUUGAAAUGUUUUAACUAAAGAUAAAAUGCCACCACUAGGAGAAAAAUAAAAUCAAGGAAAUAAACAGAAAAUCAAUAAAUGUGAAAUGUAUUAUAAAUUUAUAUAAUAACAAUGUUGUAUGCUAUAAACAUCUCACUUUGUAAAAUUAACAAGAAUUCAGUGAGGCAGAUCAUUUUCUAUGUGUUCAGAAGUCAAGUCUUUGAUGGCUAAUUUUUAUAUUACUUCAUUACAAUAUCUCUACUGAAGCAAAAUAAUUGCAAAUCUUUUUGAAUGAAAUCAAUUUAUCUUUAAUUUUAGAUAAUAUUUGGUAUAGUUGGCAUAGUUUUGUCACAAAGCAUAGCUAACAUCAAUGUAGCCUUACGACUUCAAAUGUCUUUAUAGAUCUUUUCUGAAAUUGCAAAAUUUUACUUUGAAAUUAUUGUUAAUAUUUACGUUGCACAACCACAAAUGUAGAAAUAAAAUUAUAAAGUCUC
ensembl:lncRNA PURPL p53 upregulated regulator of p53 levels